rnacentral:snRNA from 1 species
GGGUUUGUGAGGGUGUUCCGGCUGUGACAUCUGUCACCGCAUUCAUCACCAGGGUUGAUUCGGCUGAUCUGGCUGGCUGGGUGGGUGUCCCUGUCCUCCCUCACGGAUCCAUGUGCAUCCCUCACGAAGCUGCAUGUUUGGUCAAAGAGAAUGGUCACCCCCAAUGGAGGAGGACCAUUCCUCGGUCAAGGGUAUACCAGUAGCUGCGCUUCACUGCUAGAACCUCCAAAUAAACCUCUCAAAUUGUGUUCCAGUUCUCAAAAUUAAUAUAAAGGCUCUUCAAAGCAAUCCAAUAGGCUGAAAGGACACCUUCAAGGCAGUAAUCAUU